rnacentral:misc_RNA from 1 species
GAUGAAGAACGUAGCGAAAUGCGAUAAGUAAUGUGAAUUGCAGAAUUCAGAAUCAUCGAAUCUUUGAACGCACCUUGCGCUCUUUGGUAUUCCGAAGAGCAUGCCUGUUUGAGUGUCAUGAAAAUAUCAACCUUGACUUGGGUUUUGUGCUCUAGUCUCGGCUUGGAAUUGGGUGCUUGCCGCUUUUACGAGCGGCUCACCUUAAAUGUAUUAGCUGGAUCUGUCUUUGAGACUUGGUUUGACUUGGCGUAAUAAGUAUUUCGCUAAGGACAUUCUUCGGAGUGGCCUCGUUUCUAGGACGCUUGUCCGCUUUCCAAUACAAGUUCCACCUCGUGGACAUGACUUUUUAUUAUCUGGCCUCAAAUCAGGUAGGACUACCCGCUGAACUUAAGCAUAUCAAUAAGCGGAGGA